rnacentral:lncRNA from 1 species
GUACUGGAUGAUGGAUUGAACUAAGAGGUAGUGCAGAUUUCACCGAAUAAAUACCGAAUAAAUACCAAAUAGUGGAAAAAAAUAUUGCAAAGGAAAAGUAACUUUGAUUAUCAGUAGAUAGUUGGCAGUUAACAUCUGAAGAACUGUCAUCAUCUUUAACCAAAGCUGAUGGAAACAGAGGAAAGUCUAAGUGCUGGAAAGGCAUCACCAGCAGCUCUAUGCAGCCCAUCUCCACAGAAAGGGUUCAGAAUUACCAUGGAGGGAUGGAGCAUGGAAACAGGAAAGCGUCUGGAACAUUUUCUAUGGCAGACUUCAAAAGACAUGUCAGUUGGCAAUCAGCUGCAGCUGGAAAAGGAUUGGAGACUGAACCCAAGAUUAAAGCCAUGCAUGGACUACUGAAGAUUUGUUGGCUUCACAUGAUGUGCUGUGAAAAUUGUUGCCCUCCAGUAGCACAAAACUGUUUUCUGUCUUGCUAAUGUCCAAGAAUGGGGUCCACGAGGAGGUCCAAUUCUGUUCAUCAAUUUUGCUAGUUAAUACUUGCUUUCUUCUACCACCAGUUCUGAGCAGGAGAACUGGUAUCCAGAUUGCCAGUGCUUAGGAUACAGUAAGCUCCUGUACUUUCUUAGAUGACCAGGAGAAGAGUAGAAGGGACAGCUGGGUACAGGACAGCUACUUCUGUCGUGGGUUUGCAGGACGGGCCCAAAUGUUUAGCUCUGGACUUCUGCUCUCUUGUUUCUGAUCUGGCCCUUACCUCAUACAAGGAUCAACGAAAUCCUUGGUUCUCCCCAGCCCUGAGAAUAGGGCUAAUAACUGGGUUCUCAGAAGCUGCUAGUUCUUAUCAGUUUCAUUGUUCAGCACUGCUGUGAGAGGAGGAAGGGUAACCAUGGAGAUGAUUUGUUUCUUGGAUGAGAGACUGAGGUACAGACAGUUGAAGGACUUUAGCCACCUUCCCACCCAAUGUACCUGUCUUUCUGGGACUCCAACCUGUGCUCCAGAAGUAUAUGUAUGACACAGAUGUGCUACCACAUCUUCCAGUUUUGUAUGGUCUAGGGUACCCAGGUGACAAGUAACGUUAAAUGUCUAUAUUUAAGCAAGUGAAUCAAAUCUGAAGUGAUGUGCCCAAGGGCAAAGGAUUGGUUCAAUGCUUUAAAGUGUGAAAUGAUAAAGAAGAGUUAAUUACUCAAAGAGAAAUGGUGUCAGAAAUGCAUCAUAACAAUUCUGCACUCAGGUGGCUGGUUUUUAUCUACAUCUAAUACAUUUACUGUCAAGUCUCUUGUUUUUGAAGACUUGCAUGCCAAUGCUCAAAAAACCCUGAAGACCCAGGGGAAUUAUCUGAGAUUUGCACAUUAAGAUUGUUCCAUUCGCUUUCACAAUGGACAGUGGAAGAAAACAGUUUUGGCCCAUACUCCAUGUACUCCUUAUUUCUAGCCAUAUAGUCCAAGUUCUGUCUAUUCAAACUCACUGGCCUGCUGACCU